UAUUCUGAAGGGAGAAGUCCCGCCCAUGGU
rnacentral:piRNA from 1 species